GGAAGUGUGCCCGAGACUAGGGGCUACUUUGAUAGAGUAGAGACAGAGAUAGGAAACUCUCUCUUCC
rnacentral:tRNA from 1 species